rnacentral:rRNA from 1 species
GACGAACGCUGGCGGCGUGCUUAACACAUGCAAGUCGAACGGAAAGGCCCUGCUUGCGGGGUGCUCGCGUGGCGAAAGGGUGAGUAACACGUGGGUGAUCUGCCCUGUAGUUCGGGAUAUGCCUGGGAAAAUGGGUCUAAUACAGGGUAGGGGACAUCUUUAGUGAGAGGGUUGGAAAGUUUUUUCGGUGUAGGAUGAGCUCGCGGCCUAUCAGGUUGUUGGUGGGGUAAGGGCCUACCCAGGCGGGUACGGGUGGCCGGCCCGGGAGGGUGGACGGCCACCGUGGGGCCUGGGAUCCGCCCAGACGCCCGCGGGAGGCAGGAGGUGGGGAAUAUUGACCAAGGGGGGAAGGCCGAUGCAGCGACCGCGGGGUGGGGGAUACGGGCCUUGGGUUUGUAACCCGUUUCGCCAUGGAAGAAACCGUUUGUGACGGUACCUAGUUAAGAAGCACCGGCUAACUACGUG